UACGAAGGGGGCUAGCGUUGCUCGGAAUCACUGGGCGUAAAGCGCACGUAGGCGGAUCUUUAAGUCAGGGGUGAAAUCCUGGAGCUCAACUCCAGAACUGCCUUUGAUACUGGGGAUCUCGAGUCCGGAAGAGGUGAGUGGAACUCCGAGUGUAGAGGUGAAAUUCGUAGAUAUUCGGAAGAACACCAGUGGCGAAGGCGGACUCACUGGUCCGGUACUGACGCUGAGGUGCGAAAGCGUGGGGAGCAAACAGGG
rnacentral:rRNA from 1 species